CGGGGGGUGCAAGCGUUGUUCGGAUUUAUUGGGGCGUAAAGCGCGUGUAGGCGGUUUGUUAAGUCCGAUGUGAAAGCCCUGGGCUCAACCCAGGAAGUGCAUUGGAUACUGGCAGACUUGAAGUACGGGAGAGGGUAGUGGAAUUCCUGGUGUAGGAGUGAAAUCCGUAGAUAUCAGGAGGAACACCGGUGGACGAAGGCGGCUACCUGGACCGAUAUUGACGCUGAGACGACGAAAGCGGUGGGUAGACAAACGAGGAUUAGACUACCCUGGUACGUCACGCCGUAAACGAUGAGUACUAGGUGUUGCGGGUAUUGACCCCUGCAGUGCCGCAGCUAACGCAUUAAGUACUCCGCCUGGGAAGUACGGUCGCAAGACUA
rnacentral:rRNA from 1 species